CCGCGCGCUGGUCAUCUGCACCGAGUGGGACAUGUUCAGGGAUCUGGAUUAUGAGAGGAUAUAUGACCACAUGUUGAAGCCAGCGUUUCUGUUUGACGGCCGUCGCCUGUUGGACCAACUUCACCCCCGCCUGCAGAACAUUGGCUUCCAGAUUGAGACCAUCGGUAAGAAGGUGACAUCAUCUCGUAUUCCCUACACACCCGGCCGGAGUCCCGCGUCAG